rnacentral:sRNA from 1 species
CGUAGGUGACCUGCGGAGGACAUUAUUGAAUAACUUGGUGUUGAUGCUGGCUCCUCUGGGGGCAUGUGCUCGCAUCAUAUUAUUUAUCUAUCUCUUGUGCACCUUUUGUAGUCUGCAGAGUUUAAGGGUCUGGUCGGAGUCAAGGCUUCGGUCCAUUUCAAAGGACUCCGCGCUUCGCAGGCUAUGUUUUUAUACACCUUUAAGAAUGUAUUAGAAUGUUUCAUUAUUGACUGAAAAGUCAGUAAACUCAAUACAACUUUCAGCAACGGAUCUCUUGGCUCUCCCAUCGAUGAAGAACGCAGCGAAAUGCGAUAAGUAAUGUGAAUUGCAGAAUUCAGUGAAUCAUCGAAUCUUUGAACGCACCUUGCGCCCUUUGGUAUUCCGAAGGGCAUGCCUGUUUGAGUGUCAUUAAAUUCUCAACCUUACCAGCUUUGUCUGUUGUAAGGCUUGGAUGUGAGGGCUUGCCGGCUUCCUUCAGUGGAUGGUCAGCUCCCUUUAAAUGCAUUAGUGGGAUCCUUUGUGGACGGUCACUUGGUGUGAUAAUUAUCUACGCCGCUUGAUUGUGAAGCAAAACUUAUGGGAACCCGCUCAUAACCGUCCUCUUGGACAAUACUCUGACGAUUUGACCUCAAAUCAGGUAGGACUACCCGCUGAACUUAAGCAUAUCAAUA